GAUGAACGCUGGCGGCGUGCCUAAUACAUGCAAGUCGAGCGAACGGACGAGAAGCUUGCUUCUCUGAUGUUAGCGGCGGACGGGUGAGUAACACGUGGAUAACCUACCUAUAAGACUGGGAUAACUUCGGGAAACCGGAGCUAAUACCGGAUAAUAUUUUGAACCGCAUGGUUCAAAAGUGAAAGACGGUCUUGCUGUCACUUAUAGAUGGAGCCGCGCUGCAUUAGCUAGUUGGUAAGGUAACGGCCUACCAAGGCAACGAUGCAUAGCCGACCUGAGAGGGUGAUCGGCCACACUGGAACUGAGACACGGUCCAGACUCCUACGGGAGGCAGCAGUAGGGAAUCUUCCGCAAUGGGCGAAAGCCUGACGCAGCAACGCCGCGUGAGUGAUGAAGGUCUUCGGAUCGUAAAGCUCUGUUAUUAGGGAAGAACAUAUGCGUAAGUAACUGUGCACAUCUUGACGGUACCUAAUCAGAAAGCCCCGGCUAACUACGUG
rnacentral:rRNA from 1 species